rnacentral:rRNA from 1 species
GUCGGUGUUGAUGACGCAUAGGAUCCACCUGUUCCCAUCCCGAACACAGAAGUUAAGCUAUGUCGUGCCGAAGAUACUUGGCGGGAAGCUGCCUGGAAAAAUAGGUAGACGCCGACA